GACGAACGCUGGCGGCGUGCUUAACACAUGCAAGUCGAACGGAAAGGCCCUGAUUUUGCGGGGUGGUUGAGUGGCGAAGGGGUGAGUAACACGCGUGUAACAUGCCCUUGACUUUGGGAGAACUUUAGGAAAAUGGGGCUAAUACAGGAUAGGAUCUUCUGAUGCAUGGUGGGGGUUGGAAAGUUUCGGCGGUGGGGGAUGGACUAGAGGCUUAUCAGCUUGUUUGGGAGGUAGUGGAUUACCAAGGCUUUGACGGGUAGCCGGCAUGAGAGGGUGACCGGCGACAUUGCGACUGAGAUACGGCCCAGACUCCUACGUGAGGCAGCAGUGGAGAGUAUUGCGCAGUGGGCCGAAGCCUGUUGCAGCAACGCCCCGUGCGGGAUGACGUCCUUCGAGUUGUAAACCGCUGUCUCCUUUGACGAAGCGUGAUUGACGGUAAUGAGUAAGGAAGCACCGGCUAACUACGUG
rnacentral:rRNA from 1 species